UCGAGGAUCUUCGGCAAUGGGCGAAAGCCUGACCGAGCGACGCCGCGUGUGCGAUGAAGGCCUUUUGGUUGUAAAGCACUGUCGAAGGGGAGCAAGCCGCAAGGUUGAGAGGACCCUUGGAGGAAGCACGGGCUAACUUCGUGCCAGCAGCCGCGGUAAUACGAAGGGGGCUAGCGUUGCUCGGAAUUACUGGGCGUAAAGGGAGCGUAGGCGGACAUUUAAGUCAGAGGGGGAAUCCCGGGGCUUAAG
rnacentral:rRNA from 1 species